rnacentral:rRNA from 1 species
GAUGAACGCUAGCUACAGGCUUAUCACAUGCAAGUCGAGGGGAAACGGCAUUUAGUGCUUGCACUGAAUGGACGUCGACCGGCGCACGGGUGAGUAACGCGUAUCCAACCUACCCAUUACUGUGGGAUAACCUGCCGAAAGGCAGACUAAUACCGCAUAGUCUUCGAUGACGGCAUCAGAUUUGAAGUAAAGAUUUAUCGGUAAUGGAUGGGGAUGCGUCUGAUUAGCUUGUUGGCGGGGUAACGGCCCACCAAGGCAACGAUCAGUAGGGGUUCUGAGAGGAAGGUCCCCCACAUUGGAACUGAGACACGGUCCAAACUCCUACGGGAGGCAGCAGUGAGGAAUAUUGGUCAAUGGGCGGGAGCCUGAACCAGCCAAGUAGCGUGCAGGAUGACGGCCCUAUGGGUUGUAAACUGCUUUUGUAUGGGGAUAAAGUCAAUCACGUGUGAUUGUUUGCAGGUACCAUACGAAUAAGGACCGGCUAAUUCCAUGC